CGAAGCGCAAUAGAGUAGAUAGGGAUUGCUUCAAAAAGUCUAGAGAAACAAACAUGAACUCAACUGUCAUUCUCUCACUUGGGACAGUUUUUUCUACUUAUUGGCUCAAAUUAUGAACCUGGACCAGGUUAAGCAAGAGCUUGGCACAUCAUUUUUGUUGUCGGCAGAGGGCAGAACACUCAGGGCUGAUCAAUAUGACCCAGAAUUUGGAUGUGCAGAUUGCACAAUAGAUUCAUCCCAUUGGUGACCUCCCCAGAUGACCAAGUCUUGCCCUGUAUGGCCAGCUUUGUCUAACCUCUUGAACUAAAUUUGAACAUUCAGAGUAAAAAAGUAGACCCAGUGCUGUGUAUGUGUAAUGGUCAUUGGCUGUUCCAUAAAUCUAUCAGUCUAAAUGUGUGCAGGGUUAACUGGGCAGAUAUCCAGUAUAUUUGUGUGAUGAACUCCAAUGGGCAACUGGCAUUCUGAUCUUACCAAGGUUGAGACACCUUGAUGCAAUUUCUAAUUAACAUCACUCUGCAGCCAAUGUUACUACUCCUUGGCUUUUGUUAGCAUCUUUAGUCAAGACUUCAGGCUACCAUCGCUGUUCCCUUUACAAAAGAAGCCAUUUUUAAUACUGCACUGCCAUAUUUCAAUAAAUAUGUAGGUAGGGCUGCCAGUUACCACUGUUUAGUUAUCUAAUAUGCCACCUAAGGAAAAACUACAUAGGUUUCAGUGCACGAACAUCUAUUAUUAAUGGUGGUUGUUGGUAACCCUGUAUGUAGGGGUACAGGCUACAGUCUUAAAAAAUGACAAGCACAUUACAUUCUCUCACCAAUACGUACGCAGUUUGAAAUCUAUUCAUAGCAGACCCUUUAUUUAAAUUGCAUUUUGCACUAUAAUGCAGUUCUGGAGCUUUAGACUGUAACCCAUCUUGCAAGGUCUUACGGUCUCCUGUUAUUUUUGUUUCUCUCUGUAGACUUGGGCUUUAGCCUAUGCUGAGUAAACCCUCUUCAAAACCAUCCUAUAUGGCAAUGACAACGGCAGCUGAAAGAAAAAGGAAGUUGUUAAGCCUUGCAGGUAACAGAGCCAUGAAAGAAGAUAGCGUUACGCUUCCAACUGCGAAACGCGUGCGGCAGGAUAUCUCCCUCGACUGCAAAGCACCAAGAGUGCAGAGAGUGGCAGCAGGGACUACAAGAAGCGAAGAUAAUUGAGUUUGGAGACCUCUACCCAAAAGUGUUUUGGCAGGCGCCUUGGGCGUGAAAACCAAGGUGGGAAGAAAAGAACAGCCCCUAAAGAUCCAUGAGAGUGGGGCAGAAUUCCCAGAAUAACAAACAGUGUAAAAUUGGGUUUAAUAUUAAACUAGAAAAGAACAAUUGUGUUGUACAAAUUAAGCUAUGCCAACUCUGAGAUCUAUCCCAGAGUUAACAUGGUGUGCCAUUCCUGUUCUACUUUGAGAUUAAAUUCAUCUAAACAUAAGGUACAUAUCUGGCAGGAUAAAACAUUUCUGUCCAGGGUUCCAUUGUGUUUUGAUAUUCAGGAAGUCUCCUGCAGGAUUCCAUGGUGUUUUGACAUUCAGGAAGUCUCCUGCAGGAUUCCAUGGUGUUUUGACAUUCAGGAAGUCUCCUGCAGGAUUCCAUGGUGUUUUGACAUUCAGGAAGUCUCCUGCAGGAUUCCAUGGUGUUUUGACAUUCAGGAAGUCUCCUGCAGGAUUCCAUGGUGUUUUGACAUUCAGGAAGUCUCCUGCAGGAUUCCAUUGUGUUUUGACAUUCAGGAAGUCUCCUGUAGGAUUCCAUGGUGUUUUGACAUUCAGGAAGUCUCCUGCAGGAAUCUGUUGUACUAGAAUCCUCUGUUUAAACAUAAAAGAAUGAACCACAGUGGGUGCAAAGGAAACCUUCUUGAAGAUGGCACAAACAUAAUUUUGCUUUCUACAAGUAAUGGCAAUUCAAGUAUGUUUGUAGAAUAAUGCACAGUUGUAGGAGCAUGGACCAAUUAUGUCUUCUACUGAGUGACUGUACCGAUUGGUCCCACAAAAAAAUGCUGAGUAAUGCUUUUAUUCUGGAUCAGGGAUCUUCCUUUUUAUCAACAGUGAGCAUUUUCUGCAAUAUAUAAUUGUAAGAUUAAUGAUGUCAAACAAAUAAGUACAAUUGAGCCCAUGUGCCGGCUGGAAGCCACAAUAACACGGAGAGCCACGUUCUAGGUGAAAUAAUAGAUAAUAUAUAAAGUAAACACGGUUUAGAAGAUCUUGAUACCUAUCAGUAGUUUUUUGUUAUCUCUGCAAGGUAACACCACACUCCGACAUCUAACUUGUAGCCUUCAUUGCAUUACAGUGUGCUCUGUGGAUAUAUUAUGAAGGUGCCUACAUCCAGGCAGAUUGAUGUGCCGUAGUGGGCCAGAGACUAUUGUCAUACGCUUAGGGGCACAUUUACUAAGGGUUGAAUAUCAAGGGUUAAUUAACCCUCGAUAUUCGACCCUUGAAGUAGAA